GACGAACGCUGGCGGCACGCUUAACACAUGCAAGUCGAACGGAGUUAAUUGGAGCUUGCUUUGAUUAACUUAGUGGCGGACGGGUGAGUAACACGUGAGCAACCUGCCUUUAAGAGAGGAAGAACAGUCUGAAAAGACUGCUAAUACCUCAUAACAUAACGAAGCCGCAUGACUUUGUUAUCAAAGAUUUAUCGCUUAAAGAUGGGCUCGCGUCUGAUUAGCUUGUUGGUGAGGUAACGGCCCACCAAGGCGACGAUCAGUAGCCGUACUGAGAGGUAGAUCGGCCACAUUGGGACUGAGACACGGCCAAGACUCCUACGGGAGGCAGCAGUGGGGAAUAUUGCACAAUGGAGGAAACUCUGAUGCAGCGAUGCCGCGUGAGGGAAGAAGGUUUUCGGAUUGUAAACCUCUGUCUUCAGGGACGAUAAUGACGGUACCUGAGGAGGAAGCUCCGGCUAACUACGUGCCAGCCGCCGCCGUAA
rnacentral:rRNA from 1 species